UGACCCAGUGGUGAUGACUGGUGGUGUAUGAGCUAUGGAUGAUGACUAUUGCAUGUUUGGAACUCUGAGCUUCAA